GUGUAGAGGCGGCAGGGUAGCCUAGUGGUUAGAGUGUAGAGGAGGCAGGGUAGCCUAGUGGUUAGAGUGUAGGGGCGGCAGGGUAGCCUAGUUGUUAGAGUGUAGAGGCGGCAGGGUAGCCUAGUGGUUAGAGUGUAGAGGCGGCAGGGUAGCCUAGUGGUUAGAGUGUAGAGGCGGCAGGGUAGCCUAGUGGUUAGAGUGUAGAGGCGGCAGGGUAGCCUAGUGGUUAGAGUGUAGAGGCGGCAGGGUAGCCUAGUGGUUAGAGUGUAGAGGCGGCAGGGUAGCCUAGUGGUUAGAGUGUAGAGGCGGCAGGGUAGCCUAGUGGUUAGAGUGUGGGGCGGCAGGGUAGCCUAGUGGUUAGAGUGUAGAGGCGGCAGGGUAGCCUAGUGGUUAGAGUGUAGAGGCGGCAGGUAGCCUAGUGGUUAGAGUGGAGGGGCGGCAGGGUAGCCUAGUGGUUAGAGUGUAGAGGCGGCAGGUAGCCU